rnacentral:rRNA from 1 species
AACGAACGCUGGCGGCAUGCCUAACACAUGCAAGUCGAACGAGAUCCUUCGGGGUCUAGUGGCGCACGGGUGCGUAACGCGUGGGAAUCUGCCCUUAGGUUCGGAAUAACAGUUAGAAAUGACUGCUAAUACCGGAUGAUGACGUUAAGUCCAAAGAUUUAUCGCCUGAGGAUGAGCCCGCGUAGGAUUAGCUAGUUGGUGUGGUAAAGGCGCACCAAGGCGACGAUCCUUAGCUGGUCUGAGAGGAUGAUCAGCCACACUGGGACUGAGACACGGCCCAGACUCCUACGGAAGGCAGCAGUGGGGAAUAUUGGACAAUGGGCGCAAGCCUGAUCCAGCAAUGCCGCGUGAGUGAUGAAGGCCUUAGGGUUGUAAAGCUCUUUUACCCGGGAUGAUAAUGACAGUACCGGGAGAAUAAGCCCCGGCUAACUCCGUG